AUACGUAGGGUGCAGGCGUUAAUCGGAAUUACUGGGCGUAAAGCGUGCGCAGGCGGUUUUGUAAGACAGGUGUGAAAUCCCCGGGCUCAACCUGGGAACUGCCAUUGUGACUGCAAGGCUGGAGUGCGGCAGAGGGGGGUGGAAUUCCGCGUGUAGCAGUGAAAUGCGUAGAUAUGCGGAGGAACACCGAUGGCGAAGGCAAUCCCCUGGGCCGGCACUGACGCUCAUGCACGAAAGCGUGGGGAGCAAACAGGAUUAGAUACCCUGGUAGUCCACGCCCUAAACGAUGUCAACUGGUUGUUGGGGAUUUAUUUUCUCAGUAACGAAGCUAACGCGUGAAGUUGACCGCCUGGGGAGUACGGCCGCAAGGUUAAAACUCAAAGGAAUUGACGGGG
rnacentral:rRNA from 1 species